UGCAGUCGACGAACCUUUCGGGUUAGUGGCGGACGGGUGAGUAACGCGUGCAUAAAUUGCCCUCAGGAGGGGGAUAACAGUUGGAAACGACUGCUAACACCCCAUAUGCCGAGAGGUGAAAUGAAUUUUGCCUGGGGAUGAGCUCGCGUCUGAUUAGCUUGUUGGUGGGGUAAAAGCCUACCAAGGCUUCGAUCAGUAGCUGGUCUGAGAGGACGAUCAGCCACACUGGGACUGAGAUACGGCCCAGACUCCUACGGGAGGCAGCAGUGGGGAAUUUUCCGCAAUGGGCGCAAGCCUGACGGAGCAACGCCGCGUGAGGGAUGAAGGCCUUUGGGCUGUAAACCUCUUUUCUCAAGGAAGAAGAUCUGACGGUACUUGAGGAAUAAGCCACGGCUAAUUCCGUGCCAGCAGCCGCGGUAAUACGGGAGUGGCGGGCGUUAUCCGGAAUUAUUGGGCGUAAAGCGUCCGCAGGCGGCCGUUUAAGUCUGUUGUUAAAUCGUGGAGCUCAACUCCAUCACGGCAAUGGAAACUGUUCGGCUUGAGUAUGGUAGGGGCAGAGGGAAUUUCCGGUGUAGCGGUGAAAUGCGUAGAUAUCGGGAAGAACACCAGUGGCAAAAGCGCUCUGCUGGGCCAUUACUGACGCUCAUGGACGAAAGCCAGGGGAGCGAAAGGGAUUAGAUACCCCUGUAGUCCUGGCCGUAAACGAUGAACACUAGAUGUUGGGGGAAUCGACCCCUCCGGUGUCGUAGCUAACGCGUUAAGUGUUCCGGCCUGGGGAGUACGCACGCAAGUGUGAACUCAAAGGAAUGACGGGGGCCCGCACAAGCGGUGGAUAUG
rnacentral:rRNA from 1 species